AGAGUUUGAUCCUGGCUCAGAAUGAACGUUGGCGGCGUGGAUUAGGCAUGCAAGUCGAACGGGCCUGGUUGAAAGAUCAGGUCAGUGGCGUAAGGGUGAGUAAGGCGACGGCAACCAACCCCAUGGUUGGGCAUAGCCGCGGGAAACUGCGGGUAAUUCCCAGCGAUGUUCGUGCCGGGCAUCCGGCGUGAACCAAAGUUAAGGCGCCGUGGGACGGGCCGUCGUGGUAUUAGGUAGUUGGCGGGGUAAUGGCCCACCAAGCCUCUGAUGCCUACCGGGCGUGCGAGCGUGGCCCGGCACACUGGGACUGAGACACUGCCCAGACUCCUACGGGAGGCUGCAGUCGAGAAUCUUCGGCAAUGGGCGCAAGCCUGACCGAGCGACGCCGCGUGGAGGAUGAAGGCCUUCGGGUUGUAAACUCCUGUCGAGGGGGAGGAAGG
rnacentral:rRNA from 1 species